CUGCUAUCGAGGUUCGACUAAGCCAUGCGAGUCGAAUGUAGCAAUACAUGGCGAACUGCUCAGUAACACGUGGACAACCUGCCCUUAGGUUGGGUAUAAACCCGGGAAACUGGGUAUAAUACCCGAUAGGUCUCGAUUGCUGGAAUGCAUCGAGAUUUAAAGCUCCGGCGCCUAAGGAUGGGUCUGCGGCCUAUCAGGUAGUAGUGGAUGUAGCGUACCUACUAGCCUACGACGGGUACGGGUUGUGAGAGCAAGAGCCCGGAGAUGGAUUCUGAGACACGAAUCCAGGCCCUACGGGGUGCAGCAGGCGCGAAAACUUUACAAUGCUGGCAACAGCGAUAAGGGAACCUCGAGUGCCAGGUUACAAAUCUGGCUGUCGAGAUGCCUAAAAAGCAUUUCAUAGCAAGGGCCGGGCAAGACCGGUGCCAGCCGCCGCGGUAACACCGGCGGCUCGAGUGGUAACCGUUAUUAUUGGGUCUAAAGGGUCUGUAGCCGGCCGGAUAAGUCUCUUGAGAAAUCUGGCAGCUUAACUGUCAGGCUUUCAGGAGAUACUGUCUGGCUCGAGGCCGGGAGAGGUGAGAGGUACUUCAGGGGUAGGGGUGAAAUCUUGUAAUCCUUGAAGGACCACCAGUGGCGAAGGCGUCUCACCAGAACGGACCUGACGGCAAGGGACGAAAGCUAGGGGCACGAACCGGAUUAGAUACCCGGGUAGUCCUAGCCGUAAACGAUACUCGCUAGGUGUCGGCCACGGUGCGACCGUU
rnacentral:rRNA from 1 species